CACGUGGAUAAUCUACCCAGUAAUCCGGGAUAACAUCUCGAAAGAGAUGCUAAUACCUGAUAAGCCCACGAUCUCUUCGGAGAACGAGGGAAAAGGUGGGGACCUUCGGGCCUGCCGUUGCUGGAUGAGUCCGCGGCCCAUUAGCUAGUUGGUAGGGUAAUGGCCUACCAAGGCUACGAUGGGUAACUGGUCUGAGAGGAUGAUCAGCCACACUGGAACUGAGACACGGUCCAG
rnacentral:rRNA from 1 species